rnacentral:lncRNA from 1 species
CUUUUUCUAGCUUUGCCAUGGUGGUCUUGAGUUCCUCCAUUUCUUCAAUAGGGACAUGGGUGAGCUUAGGUUCAGGAAGAGGUAUAGGUGCCCGAAUGACAAAUGACAUUUUAAUCAUCUUCACCCUUUCCUUUACCCACUGAAAAUAUGGUUCUUUUGUAAUCCCAUUUGCUCUCCCUAACUCAGCUUUCCCUUUUCGAUUGACAUUAUUCUAAGCUUCUUUGAUUCGCUGGAAUAAGCUAGGAUUCUCAACCCCAAAGUCAAGUAACAAGAAAGCUUCUAAAGAAUUUGCCUCUGGAGGGCCUUCCAUUGGGUAACCGAGUUGUCUGAGUGAUAGAACUGGAUUAGCAUUCACACAUCCUUGAGUUCCAAUAAGUGGUAGAUUUGGGAAAUCUCCACAACUGAAUAUGAUGUCUACGUUGAUGUAUUCUUUGGAGUACCAAGAGAGAUCUUCAGAUCGGAGUGAUCCUAAUCUCUGAGGCCAACUAACAUCUGUCUGUUCAACCCAAGCACCUGUCUUCAGAAGAUGUUCUAGAAACCACUGAUACAAUAAAGGAGCACAACAAGCAAUCAAUCCCUUCUUCUUAGUAUACCUAUAACUUAUGUGAUAAUAGACAUCGGCUAACAAAGUGGGUAUUGGGUUCCCAGUAAGGAAAACAGAAAUGGCAGUCAUAUCUACGAAACCAUCCAUAUUCGGGAACAGGACGAUGCCAUAGAUGGCCAAUGCAAUAGCAGAGUAACAAGCAUCCCGACUUUCUGCCUUCAACAGGGUAUGAGCUCUUUCCAUAAGAAAACUUAGUGAAAAUCCUUUGGUAUUCCCUUUGGUAUCUAAGUUAUCUUUUGCUUCCUUUUCAUCCAUGUGAAGUGCAAUAGCAAUGACCUCGAGGGGCAAAGAUUCAUCUGUCCCUUCAAAUAGUGACUUGUCCUUCAUAGGAAUCCUAACAAGACGCUCGAAUUCUUCCAACGUUGGUGCUAGCUGGAAGUCUUGGAAUGUGAAGCAUCUUAUUGGUAAGUCAUAAAAUUGGGCUAAAGUGAUCAAGGCUGUAUGGUCCACUUGUUGAUUGAGGAUGCUGAGCAAAUUGCCAUAAUUCUUUCCAAAGUUGAUUCUGUAUACAGGGUGCAUCUGAGAGACCAAAUUGGGCUAAAGUGAUCAAGGCUGUAUGGUCCACUUGUUGAUUGAGGAUGCUGAGCAAAUUGCCAUAAUUCUUUCCAAAGUUGAUUCUGUAUACAGGGUGCAUCUGAGAGACCAAGUUACGUAAAUUUUUCAGAUCGAGAUCCUUGAACUUGAAGGAGUAAAUGUUUCUUUUGCUUGAUUCCAUGUUUCCUGAAUUCCUGCAACUCAUGAUACUCAGAUUCCUUGGAAAUAAAAUAAUAUGAAUGCUAUGCUAUGAAUGAUAUUAUGCGUGCCACAUGUAAGUUGAUAUACAGGUCAUGCGAGUGGGUAUUCUUGGUUACUAAACAAAACCCUUUUGGUAGAAUGCUAAAGGUAAGAAGUUCCCAAAGUCAUCAAUCAAUAUUUAAGAAAGUUAUUAUCAUGAUGAAAACUCAUCUGCUAAUAACAUCCCUAAACAGAGUCUCGUUUGGGUGAGGCCUUCGUAUGAUCCCAAAGAGGAAAACUCCUAGUGGGUCCAUACUACACAACUCUCGAGUCCAAGGUUCACCUUCGUAUGAUCCCAAAGAGGAAAACUCCUAGUGGGUCCAUACUACACAACUCUCGAGUCCAAGGUUCUAAUAAGGUUCUCAGAGUCAUAGAUCGAGGUUGGAAAUAUUACUAUAAGAUAGUAAUAUGUUCAAGGGAUCUCAUCUGAUUGGGGCUUUCGUACUAACCCAAUAAGUCUGGGACUUUUCAGGUAGAUACUACAUAACCCCCAGAUAUAUAAUGGGUUAAAAGGUCCCUAGAGUCAUUGAUCCAACCUGAGAAUAUUAUCGUCGUGACGAAAACUCGUCGCGCAAUAAUAUUUCAAGAGAACCUCCUCUAGGCGGGGUCUUCAUUUUUUCCCAUCAAGGAAGACUCCUUGUGGGCGCCCACUACAUAACCACCAACUUAAACUUAUGGUUUUUCUCAGACUCGGGUGGAGAGCCUAUCUCACAAAGUAUCACCAACCAUAGAACCCCAAAUAAGACAUAGUCAAUAAAUCACAAUAAUUAUGACAACAUAAUAAUAACAGAAUAAAUAUUAAACAGAUAAACAAAAUUAACACACAAUACAUCAAUUGAACUAAAUUAGGCUUCACUCUCUCUUGCUUGGAGCUAGUCCCCAGCAGUCUUUAAUUAGGCACAAAUUGUCGGACAAAAUUGGGGUAUGACAGCUGCCCCUAUUUAAUUACCUCAAACCGGUAAGUGAUAAUGACAGCAGUCUUUACGCAUUCACGGUGGGAGAUAAUUAAAUACAAGAAGACCCAAAUUUUGUCCUAGGAAAUGAAAGAAGACCAAAUUCAAAAUCAGGAAGAAAAUGCGGUGAGAAUUGGCAAAAGACAUUAUCCCACAGUAAAAUGGAAACAGUAAGGACUUUCUGGGAGUCGUCAGAACUUGGACGUCAUAGUCGAGAUAUGUUAGUAAUGGAAUGACAUCCCUAGCUAAAUCUCAAGAUUUUUCAGGAUGCUAGAGCAGUAUAAAGAAAAUCUGGCAUGAGACUCUUCAUAUCGAUGAAGCAGUAUCUCAACAGUAAAAAGUGAGAUUCUCUGUAUCGAGUCGAAGCAACAUCUUAUAUGAUAGAAUUAAGAUGUUCCAGCAAGGGAAAGAUACCUUAAUUGAAUCUAAGACUCUCUGAGGAUAUUAGAGCAGUAUCUCUAAAAGAAUCUGAAAUGAGACUCUUCAUAUUGAUGAAGCAGCGUCUCAAAUAGUAAAAAUGAGAUUCUUUGUAUCGGAUCGAAACAGCAUCUUAUAUGAUAGAAUUAAGAUAUUCCAGCAAGGGAAAGAUACCUUAAUUGAAUCUAAGACUCUCCGAGGAUAUUAGAGCAGUAUCUCUAAAAGAAUCUGAAAUGAAACUCUUCAUAUUGAUGAAGCAGCGUCUCAAACAGUAAAAAUGAGAUUCUCUGUAUCGGAUCGAAACAACAUCUUAUAGGAUAGAAUUAAGAUAUUCCAGCAAGGGAAAACUACCUUAAGUGAGAUUCUCUGUAUCCGGUUGAAACAACAUCUUAUAUGAUAGAAUUAAGAUAUUCUGAAUGAGAGAAUGAUACCUUAAUUGAAUCUAAGACUCUUCGAGGAUACUUGAAGCAGUAUCUCAAACAGAGAAAUGAGAUUAUUUAAAUAAAUGAAUCAGUAUCUCGAAUAUUCGUUUGUUGGGGGAAUUUUAAGAAAAGACUUCUUUUGAGGGAGAUUUACUAGAAAUGCUCUGUAGGGAAAAAGCUCAUAAGAGACUUUUUAGGGUAACCUCUGCUUGGGGAGCAAUGAUUGUAAAGAAAAAUGCUGGAAAUAUCAUUUUUAAUCAUAAAGUUGAACAAAUGAUUUGCUGAGAAAUAAUUCUACGAGCACAUGGAGGGAAAUAACUUUAAUCAUCUCCAUUUUACUAUUUAUUUUGAAAUAAAACAAUCUCUUAUCUAAAAUGGAUUUUUUUUUUUAUAAUUUAACUUUAAUUAAAAUAAAUACAUUUUAUUCAUUUGAUUUUUAUAUUUAUUAUAUAUUUAGCUAUUAACUUAUGUUCUUCAUAAAUUGAAUAUUUUAUCUUCAUUUGGUUUAAAAGCUUUGUUACUGAUUCAAUUUAUGCAGUUUAAUGGGAAAAAACUACUGAAUAUCUAUAGCAUAUUUGCUAUUAAUUCAGUUUAAUGCACUUUAAUUGAGAUUUUUUUUAACAUCUAUAUCUAUAGUAGAAUGAUUGAUACAAAAUAAUUAGAUUUAAAUGUUUAUAAAUAAUGUGUUAGAAUAUAUAUUUAUAUCUAGCUCUACUUAAUUAAAGAGUGAAUUACAUUUGAACAUUAAAACUGUACUUAAACUCAUUAAUUUAGUAUAUCAUAAUAAUCUAUUAAAAUCAAAUUUAGUGGGCCAGUUUAUUUUAACUUUAAAAAAAAUAGAUUUUUUCUUUGAAUUUAUGAAAACAAAUUCUACAAAAAUAUUUUUCAAUUUAUUAUAAUUUUUUUUAUAUUUAUUUUUUCUAAGUUAAAAAAAUUAAUUUUGACAUUCUAUAACAUAAACAUAAUAAAUUAUUAAAUAUCAAAACAUAAUAAAAAUCACAAUUUUAAAAAAAAGUUAUAUCUUAAAAAUGAUUGUUAUGAAAAAUUAUUUGAAAUAGUUUUAAAAUUAUAAUAUUUUAUUGAAAUUUUGAUAUCCAAUUCUUUUUCUCGAUAAAAUGAUAAAAUAUCUAAAAUAUCAUUUUAAAAAUAACUAUUCAAACUAAAUUUUUAUGAUUUUUUUUUUAUAAAUUUUGUUUUUAACAUUAUAAAUUUUUUUUAAAAAAAUUAAAACAAACAGAUCCUAGGUUAAGUUUGUAUAUGAUUAAUAAAAUAUAUUUUAUUUUUUUUCAUAAUUAAUUUUAUUUAUUUCCUUUUUAAUAUUUAUUUUACUAUUCAUAUUAAAAUAAACAUGUCCCUUAUCUAAAAUAGAUAAAAUUAUCGACCAUAACUAGGAUUAAUUCUCCAUUAAAUGCUAACGGUUACCUUUUAUGCUAGGCAGCUUACUCUCAGGUCCUGUUUUGAUACAAAGUACAUUUGUUUUUUGAAGGACAUUUUUUAAAAACCCAAAAAAACCAAAACAUGCGACAAUGGAUAACUCACUCAACCACACAAACUAACAAGUUCCACAAACCAUAGCCAUAACCAUGGCUACUCUAAGCUUCAACUCCACAACAACCAAAACCCCAUCUUUCAACUACCCCAAUUCCAUCAUCACCAAACUCUCCUCUUCAAAACCCACCAUCAAAUUCCCAUUUUUCACCAACAAUAAACCCUUCCUUCAAAUUCGAACAUGUUCUAUAUCAGAAACCUCAGCAACAAUCACCCCGGAAGAAGUUGAAGAAGACAAAGAAGACCCAACUGCUGAAACCUGUUAUCUUGACCCAGAAACUGAUCCUGCUAAGAUAUUAAGCUGGGAACUGGAUUUCUGUUCUAGACCCAUUCUU